rnacentral:rRNA from 1 species
UGGAGAGUUUGAUCCUGGCUCAGGACGAACGCUGGCGGCGUGCUUAACACAUGCAAGUCGAGCGGAAAGGCCCUUCGGGGUACUCGAGCGGCGAACGGGUGAGUAACACGUGAGUAACCUGCCCCUGACUCUGGGAUAAGCCUGGGAAACCGGGUCUAAUACCGGAUAUGACACUCCUCCGCAUGGUGUGGGUGUGGAAAGUUUUUUCGGUUGGGGAUGGGCUCGCGGCCUAUCAGCUUGUUGGUGGGGUGAUGGCCUACCAAGGCGACGACGGGUAGCCGGCCUGAGAGGGCGACCGGCCACACUGGGACUGAGACACGGCCCAGACUCCUACGGGAGGCAGCAGUGGGGAAUAUUGCGCAAUGGGCGGAAGCCUGACGCAGCGACGCCGCGUGGGGGAUGACGGCCUUCGGGUUGUAAACCUCUUUCAGCAGGGACGAAGUUGACGUGUACCUGUAGAAGAAGCGCCGGCUAACUACGUGCCAGCAGCCGCGGUA